UACGGGAAGGGCAAGCGUUAUCCGGCGUGACUGGGCGUAAAGAGUCCGUAGACGGUAAAGUAAGUUUAUUGUUAAAUGUUAAAACUUAAUUUUAAUAGAGCAAUAAAUACUGCUUUACUUUGAGUUUAGUAUAGAAAGUAGAAUUUUAUAUGGUAGGGGUGAAAUCCGAUAGAUAUAUAAAGGAAUGUCAAUAGCGAAGGCAACUUUUUGGUA
rnacentral:rRNA from 1 species